GGAGGGGAAAAAAACAGCACCCUGGGCUCUCACAGUGGGAAAAUGCUUAUGCUACUGCAUGGCAGAUCAUGUGUUAUCAGGGAAGGAUUAUUUUAUCCAAGAACAAGAGAUGGGAUGGGAAAAAAGCAGCACCCUGGAGCUAAAAUAACUUUGGAAAGGCAAAAGUUGUCCCACAUUAAA